rnacentral:rRNA from 1 species
GAUGAACGCUAGCUACAGGCUUAACACAUGCAAGUCGAACGAGAUGCGUAUUGGAAAGCUUCGGCCGGAAGAUACGUUAUCUAGUGGCGGACGGGUGAGUAACACGUGGGUAACCUGCCUUAUGGAGGGGGAUAACAGAGAGAAAUCACUGCUAAUACCGCAUAAGCACACAGUACCGCAUGGUACAGGGUGAAAAGAUUUAUCGCCAUAAGAUGGAUCCGCGUCCGAUUAGCUAGUUGGUGAGGUAGAGGCUCACCAAGGCGACGAUCGGUAGCCGGCCUGAGAGGGUGAACGGCCACAUUGGGACUGAGACACGGCCCUUACUCCUACGGGAGGCAGCAGUGGGGAAUAUUGGACAAUGGACCAAGAGUCUGAUCCAGCAAUUCUGUGUGCACGAUGAAGUUUUUCGGAAUGUAAAGUGCUUUCAGUUGGGAAGAAAAAAAUGACGGUACCAACAGAAGAAGUGACGGCUAAAUACGUGCCAGCAGCCGCGGUAAUACGUAUGUCACAAGCGUUAUCCGGAUUUAUUGGGCGUAAAGCGCGUCUAGGUGGUUAUAUAAGUCUGAUGUGAAAAUGCAGGGCUCAACUCUGUAUUGCGUUGGAAACUGUGUAACUAGAGUACUGGAGAGGUAAGCGGAACUACAAGUGUAGAGGUGAAAUUCGUAGAUAUUUGUAGGAAUGCCGAUGGGGAAGCCAGCUUACUGGACAGAUACUGACGCUGAAGCGCGAAAGCGUGGGUAGCAAACAGG